GUAAUGCUUAGGAAUCUGCCUAGUAGUGGGGGAUAACUUGGGGAAACCCAAGCUAAUACCGCAUACGACCUACGGGUGAAAGGGGGCUUUUAGCUCUCGCUAUUAGAUGAGCCUAAGUCGGAUUGGCUGGUUGGUGGGGUAAAGNCCUACCAAGGCGACGAUCUGUAGCUGGUCUGAGAGGAUGAUCAGCCACACUGGGACUGAGACACGGCCCAGACUCUUACGGGAGGCAGCAGUGGGGAAUAUUGGACAAUGGGCGAAAGCCUGAUCCAGCCAUGCCGCGUGUGUGAAGAAGGCCUUUUGGUUGUAAAGCACUUUAAGUGGGGAGGAAAAGCUUAUGGUUAAUACCCAUAAGCCCUGACGUUACCCACAGAAUAAGCACCGGCUAACUCUGUGCCAGCAGCCGCGGUAAUACAGAGGGUGCAAGCGUUAAUCGGAAUUACUGGGCGUAAAGCGCGCGUAGGUGGUUAUUUAAGUCAGAUGUGAAAGCCCCGGGCUUAACCUGGGAACUGCAUCUGAUACUGGAUAACUAGAGUAGGUGAGAGGGGAGUAGAAUUCCAGGUGUAGCGGUGAAAUGCGUAGAGAUCUGGAGGAAUACCGAUGGCGAAGGCAGCUCCCUGGCAUCAUACUGACACUGAGGUGCGAAAGCGUGUGUAGCAAACAGGAUUAGAUACCCUGGUAGUCCACGCCGUAAACCGAUGUCUACCAGUCGUUGGGUCUUUUAAAGACUUAGUGAUCGCAGUUAACGCAAUAAGUAGACCGCCUGGGGAGUACGGCCGCA
rnacentral:rRNA from 1 species